rnacentral:rRNA from 1 species
GAGUUUGAUCCUGGCUCAGGACGAACGCUGGCGGCAUGCCUAACACAUGCAAGUCGAACGAGACCUUCGGGUCUAGUGGCGCACGGGUGCGUAACGCGUGGGAAUCUGCCCUUGGGUUCGGAAUAACAGUUAGAAAUGACUGCUAAUACCGGAUAAUGACGUAAGUCCAAAGAUUUAUCGCCCAAGGAUGAGCCCGCGUAGGAUUAGCUAGUUGGUGGGGUAAAGGCCCACCAAGGCGACGAUCCUUAGCUGGUCUGAGAGGAUGAUCAGCCACACUGGGACUGAGAUACGGCCCAGACUCCUACGGGAGGCAGCAGUGGGGAAUAUUGCACAAUGGGCGCAAGCCUGAUGCAGCGACGCCGCGUGAGGGAUGACGGCCUUCGGGUUGUAAACCUCUUUCAGUAUCGACGAAGCGCAAGUGACGGUAGGUACAGAAGAAGCACCGGCCAACUACGUGCCAGCAGCCGCGGUAAUACGUAGGGUGCGAGCGUUGUCCGGAAUUACUGGGCGUAAAGAGCUCGUAGGUGGUUUGUCGCGUUGUUCGUGAAAACUCACAGCUUAACUGUGGGCGUGCGGGCGAUACGGGCAGACUGGAGUACUGCAGGGGAGACUGGAAUUCCUGGUGUAGCGGUGGAAUGCGCAGAUAUCAGGAGGAACACCGGUGGCGAAGGCGGGUCUCUGGGCAGUAACUGACGCUGAGGAGCGAAAGCGUGGGGAGCGAACAGGAUUAGAUACCCUGGUAGUCCACGCCGUAAACGGUGGGUACUAGGUGUGGGUUUCCUUCCUUGGGAUCCGUGCCGUAGCUAACGCAUUAAGUACCCCGCCUGGGGAGUACGGCCGCAAGGCUAAAACUCAAAGAAAUUGACGGGGGCCCGCACAAGCGGCGGAGCAUGUGGAUUAAUUCGAUGCAACGCGAAGAACCUUACCUGGGUUUGACAUGCACAGGACGACUGCAGAGAUGUGGUUUCCCUUGUGGCCUGUGUGCAGGUGGUGCAUGGCUGUCGUCAGCUCGUGUCGUGAGAUGUUGGGUUAAGUCCCGCAACGAGCGCAACCCUUGUCUGCUGUUGCCAUCACGUUAUGGUGGGCACUCUGCAGAGACUGCCGGUGAUAAACCGGAGGAAGGUGGGGAUGACGUCAAGUCAGCAUGGCCUUUAUGUCUGGGGCUACACACGUGCUACAAUGGCCGGUACAAAGCGUCGCGAGCCCGCGAGGGGGAGCUAAUCGCAGAAAGCCGGUCUCAGUUCGGAUUGCAGGCUGCAACUCGCCUGCAUGAAGUUGGAAUCGCUAGUAAUCGCGGAUCAGCAUGCCGCGGUGAUACGUUCCCGGGCCUUGUACACAC